rnacentral:lncRNA from 1 species
CACGCUCUUAGUCUAGAUGCCACGCAUAAACAAAUUAGGGGGUGUUUGCUUUGGGGCUGACUAAAGUUUAGUCCCUUUUAGUCCCUAAAAUACCAAACAAGAUGACUAAAAGUUGCUAAACUUUAGUCCCUAAGUUUAGUCCUUUAGUCCCCAAAGAGGUUGCUAAAAGGGACUAAAAGUGAUCUUGGACAGGGUGUGCCCCUCGUUAAUGCCCCGUGCCUCCCUCCCCCCACCCCACCCAUCC